rnacentral:rRNA from 1 species
UCCGGGGGGAGCAAGCGUUGUUCGGAUUUACUGGGCGUAAAGGGCGCGUAGGCGGUCGUGACAAGUCACUUGUGAAAUCUCCGGGCUUAACUCGGAACGGUCAAGUGAUACUGUCGGACUAGAGUACAGAAGGGGCAACUGGAAUUCUCGGUGUAGCGGUGAAAUGCGUAGAUAUCGAGAGGAACACCAGUGGCGAAGGCGGCUACCUGGACCGGUUCUGACGCUGAGGAGCGAAAGCUAGGGGAGCAAACGGG